rnacentral:rRNA from 1 species
CAGUCGCCGCGGGAAAACGAAGGGGGCUAGCGUUGUUCGGAAUUACUGGGCGUAAAGGGCGCGUAGGCGGCCAUUCAAGUUAGAUGUGAAAGCCCUGGGCUCAACCUAGGAAUUGCAUUUGAUACUGUUUGGCUUGAGUUCGGGAGAGGUGAGUGGAAUUCCCAGUGUAGAGGUGAAAUUCGUAGAUAUUGGGAAGAACACCAGUGGCGAAGGCGGCUCACUGGACCGACACUGACGCUGAGGCGCGAAAGCGUGGGGAGCAAACAGGAUUAGAUACCCCUGUAGUCCCUGUCUCUUAUAC